rnacentral:lncRNA from 1 species
CGCGGAGUUUCAUGCCGGGGUGUUGUGAUGUCUUGUCGGGGCGUUGUGUCGGGGUGUCGGGGCAUCGUGUCGGGGUGUUGGGGCACCGUGUCGUGGUGUCAGGGUGUCAUUUUCUUGUUCCUCCUCUUCUUUUUUUCCUCUUUUUUUCCUCUGCUUCCUUUUAUUCUUCUUCCUUUUCUUCUUCUUCUUCUUCUUCUUCUUCUUCUUGUUCUUGUUCUUGUUCUUGUUCUUGUUCUUGUUCUUGUUCUUGUUGUUGUUGUUGUUCUUCUUCUUCUUCCUUCUUUUCCUUUUUCCUCUUCUUAUUCUUC